CCUGCCCUUAGAGGUGUUUUAGGUGUUGUUGCUGUGUCAUAUGUGCAUUUGAAGAUGGCAGAGAGAAGGAAGACUAUGUCUACACUGAGUGUUCUGAUCUAUGAACAACUGAAUCAAUAGUAGCCUAACAUU